rnacentral:rRNA from 14 species
GGUACGCGAGCUGGGUUUAGAACGUCGUGAGACAGUUCGGUCUCUAUCCGCCGCGCGCGUUGAAACUUGAAGAAAGCUGUCCCUAGUACGAGAGGACCGGGAUGGACAGACCGCUGGUGUACGAGUUGUACUGCCAAGUGCACAGCUCGGUAGCUACGUCUGGGAAGGAUAAGUGCUGAAGGCAUCUAAGCACGAAACCAACCUCGAGAUAAGAUUUCUAUGAGAUUACUUGAAGAAAACAAGAUAGAUAGGUCAGAGGUGUAAAGAUAGUAG